rnacentral:rRNA from 1 species
AGUGAACGCUGGCGGUAGGCCUAACACAUGCAAGUCGAACGGCAGCACAGUAAGAGCUUGCUCUUACGGGUGGCGAGUGGCGGACGGGUGAGGAAUACAUCGGAAUCUACUUUUUCGUGGGGGAUAACGUAGGGAAACUUACGCUAAUACCGCAUACGACCUACGGGUGAAAGCAGGGGAUCUUCGGACCUUGCGCGAUUGAAUGAGCCGAUGUCGGAUUAGCUAGUUGGCGGGGUAAAGGCCCACCAAGGCGACGAUCCGUAGCUGGUCUGAGAGGAUGAUCGGCGACACUGGAACUGGGACACGGUCCAGACUCCUACGGGAGGGAGCAGUGGGGAAUAUUGGACAAUGGGCGCAAGCCUGAUCCAGCCAUACCGCGUGGGUGAAGAAGGCCUUCGGGUUGUAAAGCCCUUUUGUUGGGAAAGAAAAGCAGCAGGUUAAUACCCCGCUGUUCUGACGGUACCCAAAGAAUAAGCACCGGCUAACUUCGUG